CUGGCGGCAUGCUUCAUACAUGCAAGUCGAACGAUAAGGUCUCUUACGGAGAUACAUAAGUGGCGGACGGGUGAGUAAUAUGUAGGAAAUCUGCCCUAGAGAGGGGACAACAGAGGAAACUUCUGCUGAUACCCCAUAUGAGCGUACCUGAAAUGGUAUUCUUGAAAACUCCGGUGCUCUAGGAUGAGCCUGCAUCUGAUUAGCUUGUUGGCGGUGUAAUGGACCACCAAGGCGACGAUCAGUAGCUGGUUUGAGAGGAUGAUCAGCCACAAUGGGACUGAGACACGGCCCAUACUCCUACGGGAGGCAGCAGUAGGGAAUUUUGCGCAAUGGGCGAAAGCCUGACGCCAGCAAUGCCGCGUGAACGUAGAAGCCCUUCGGGGUGUAAAGUUCUGUCAGUGGGGACGAAUUUUGACGGUACCCACAGAGGAAGCACCGGCUAACUCCGUGCCAGCAGCAGC
rnacentral:rRNA from 1 species